ensembl:lncRNA
GAGUGAGUGAAGGUCACUCAGCCAUGUCCAACUCUGAGACCCCAUGGACUACACAGUCCAGGAAGUUCUCUAGGGGAAGUUCGGGCCUUUUGAACAUUAGUGGCCCACACUCCUUGCUUGGCCUUGCAAAAAACGCUGCACUUUCCUUCACCACAACCUGGUGUCAGAAGACUGGCUUUAUUUCAGCAGGGUAUAGAGAAGGAGGCAUUUGAUAGACCAAUAGCUGCAUACCAGGUGCCAGAGGAUGUGUUGAUCUGCUACAACAAUGAAACCACAUCUGGAAGAGCAGCUGCAACUAAAUAUACCACCCGAUUAAGUUUAAGGUAAUUCAAGUUCCAUCUGUUUUCAACACAGGUGAACUAUUAUAGGCUAGUUGUAUGGGAUGUGGUAGUAAUCACCAUGCCUACAUAUUCAAGUCCUCAGUAGUGAUAACAGUCCCCACAAUCUCUCCUGAAAUGUGGUACUGCCUUUGGUUUGUGAUUUUCCUCCAUAUAGAGAGUACUAAUGGCUUCCCUUGGUCUUUCCUAGCACAAUAGUCCUCAUUCUACAGAUUAGGGAUUCUGCUAUGUUUAUUCCAACUAUGCAGCCCAGAUCUGGGCAAGUAACUGCAGGAUGAUUUCAAGAACCCACUGAG